rnacentral:lncRNA from 1 species
CCGCGGGAGGGCCGCCGGAGCCCGCGCCCCGCCCCGGCCCGCCCCGGCCCCGCCCCGGCCCGCCCCGGCCCCGCCCCGGCCCGCCCCGGCCCGGCCCCGCCCCGCCCCGGCCCCGCCCCCCGCGGCCAGCCGCGGCUGCCUGGAGCCCCCCGGCCAGCGGCCGGCCGCUGGGGCCGAGUAUUGUCUCAAAGGCCGAAAAGACAGGAAAGCGGGGACACUGGGGGACAGCCACGUGACCAGGAGAGGAUUUAUAAUAUUUUCCUUCGCUGUCGACAAUAUUGCAAAAUGUACGAAAGGGACCGCACGGCCGCGACCGGAGCGUGACGGCGCGGGCAAGACAGGUUCCCGGAGCGCCCGCGCUGUGCCCGCCGGAGCCCGGGUCUCUCCAGCUCGCCGGGGCGGAAUCCGAGGGCAGAGGCCGGCUUACCGACACGACACGCGCCGAGGGGACCCAAACCCGGUCCGGUCCGAGCCCGCAGCCCGGCUCCUUCUCUCCUUCCACUUCCGCCUCAGUCACAAGCCUCGAGCCUUACGAUUGCCAGGCUAUGCUGAGUGGUUCUACACGCAUCACCCCAUAUCAGGCUCACUGGCGGUCUCUUAAGUCAGUCUUCCUAUGAUCUGCCCUAUGCUUUUUACAGAGAAGGAAACUGAGGCCCUGAGCAGGUGAGUCACAGCUAGGAGGCUGGGAAGUCAGGAUUGGAACUCAGGCUGCCUCACUCCAGAACCCAAGCAAUUAACCUCCUGGCUCUCUCUUCUCUUUGCCUCCUGGUCUGCUGUCCCGUGUGUGCCCCUGAAAACCCACAGAGGCUCAGCUGUUCUCCUGUGUUGCAGAUGGGCACGUUGAGGCUCGGAAAGGUGUGUUGCGACUUGUCCAUGGUUGCUGGCUGUUGAGCUAGGCCUGCUUUCUGGUCCCUUCACCAAGAGGGCACCUGGCUGGGUCACUGAGG